UCGUAUCCAAAUCAAAACAAUAAAUAUUAUUUUUUGGCUCACAAGGGCAUUUUCGUUAUUUUUUUUUCGAAAAUACCGAAACCCACCAAAAACAUGGUGUAAAAUCUAAAUAUGUUCAUACAUACUUUUAAAUCAGAUAACUAAAGUAUAAAAUUACUUUUACAGUGACUCUUGGGCCCCCAACUGACUAAGAAGGUGUAGGGCUACGAACCCUUACUUUCUAGGAUGCAGCUCCGAGAUUAAUUCUCGUCUUAAUCAAUUAUCAACAAACUGUCCUAAGACUGAAAAAUGGAUAAAAAGAUGGGUAAGAUUACAUAAUUCCAGUGAGUAAACAAUUACCAUCAAAAGCAUCUAAAGCUGAGUAGAUAGAGACAAUAUAAAAACGUUAUAUUUCAAUAAUGUUCAUAACGCAAAAUUUGUUUCAAUCUAUACCAAACAAUUUCUUUUCGUCAAAAUUUCUCUGCUUAUGAAUUUCUUAAACUUGGCCCCUACCAGAAUCAUUCUCGCGAGUACCUUCGUCAAGGUAUCCCACUGAGACCGCCAAGGCUGUUAAAUGUCUCACACCCAUAAACGUGUUUUCACAUCUGACACACAACUGUUCAUUGGCAUUGGCUGAGUCUCACUCUCACGUGGUGGCCCGAACGUGAGGUGCACUCAAAUCUUACCUCAGGAGAUACUUCAUCCAACAUCUCCCCCCGGAGGUAAAUAUAUAAUUGGGUUACCGUGCCCCUCUCACAAGCAGUCCACAGAAACCCCCACCACUGCAGUGAUCGUGUAAUAUACCACCAGACCCAUAAAAUUUUCAGUAGCAUAAUAUGACGAAUAAAAUGUAAUUCAGUCUACCGAGACCAAUCCAAAACUGUUCAUAUAUCUCAUGUCAACCCCAAAAAUUUAGCCAUCAUGCUACCAUAGUGUCAUAAGCCACAAUUUCAAUAACAUAUAAAAUCAUAAAUUUCAACACAGUCUCCAUAUACUUAAUUUUCCCAGAACAAUAUUUGAUUUCAAAACCAGUAUAAAUCUUUAUUAAAAAAAAACAUUUUAAUUGGAAAACAUAAUAUUUUAUAAUUUAAACUCAUCAUUCAAUAAAAGCAUCAAACAAGUAUAAUUACUCUAGAUAUUUAAGAUGAUAAAUUGUCCACUCACAGUUCUAGGAGUAGAUGUACUCCUAAUCCCAGUCUUCAAGCACAAUCUCUGUACUUUUACCAAUGUAAUUUGCUCACCACCUAUCCAUAAUGUACAAUACAUAAUUCACCACAUUAAUGCUUGACCAUUAUAAAAUCAAUUCAGGCUUGAUGUAUAUGCAUGAUAUGAUAUGCAACUUAUCCGAUGACCGCUUAAAUGCGGUGCUGACCUAAUUCGACCUAUUACCCAAUUAAAUGACAAUUAUGUCCGAUUUGGCUCCAGAUUGCUUCAUUUCAUUUCUAGUACCUCAAUUCACCAAACAUUAUUCAAAUAACACCAAUUUCAGCAUCAAAACCCUCCCAUUUCUUCUUGGAAAAAUUCGGCCAUUUCAGUGCACUAACACCGUGAUUUUUCCUACUUAAUUUUCUUACCAUUAUUCAUCAUUUUCUAAGCCAUUUCUCUUGAAAUAAUAACAAUCCAUCACCCACACACAUCAAAGAAGAUUCAGCCAAUGAAGAUUCAUGAGAAAAAUGGAUUCUUUUCUUAUUGUUUUGCUUCUAAAUAUGUUAAACUAACCUUAAUCACUAACAUAACUUAAAAUCAAACAAUUCCAACUUCAUUCUCUCUCCAUACUCAUUUUGACCAGCCAUGAAUUCACCAUGAGAACAUGUAAUUUAACCAUGGAAAAUAAGGAGAAAUGAUUAAGGAAAAUAGAUUUCAAGUUUAAAUUGAAAAACCCUACCUUUUUCACUUGUUUUUCUUGAUUUUCCACACUUUUUCUCUUGAAAUCCUCCACCUAGGUUUUGUUCUUGUUUUUCCUUUCUUUCCUUUUGUCAUGGCCGAAU
rnacentral:lncRNA from 1 species